AUGUGAAAUCCCCGGGCUCAACCUGGGAACUGCAUUCGAAACUGGCAGGCUAGAGUCUUGUAGAGGGGGGUAGAAUUCCAGGUGUAGCGGUGAAAUGCGUAGAGAUCUGGAGGAAUACCGGUGGCGAAGGCGGCCCCCUGGACAAAGACUGACGCUCAGGUGCGAAAGCGUGGGGAGCAAACAGGAUUAGAUACCCUGGUAGUCCACGCCGUAAACGAUGUCGAUUUGGAGGUUGUGCCCUUGAGGCGUGGCUUCCGGAGCUAACGCGUUAAAUCGACCGCCUGGGGAGUACGGCCGCAAGGUUAAAACUCAAAUGAAUUGACGGGGGCCCGCACAAGCGGUGGAGCAUGUGGUUUAAUUCGAUGCAACGCGAAGAACCUUACCUGGUCUUGACAUCCACAGAACUUAGCAGAGAUGCUUUGGUGCCUUCGGGAACUGUGAGACAGGUGCUGCAUGGCUGUCGUCAGCUCGUGUUGUGAAAUGUUGGGUUAAGUCCCGCAACGAGCGCAACCCUUAUCCUUUGUUGCCAGCGGUCCGGCCGGGAACUCAAAGGAGACUGCCAGUGAUAAACUGGAGGAAGGUGGGGAUGACGUCAAGUCAUCAUGGCCCUUACGACCAGGGCUACACACGUGCUACAAUGGCAUAUACAAAGAGAAGCGACCUCGCGAGAGCAAGCGGACCUCAUAAAGUAUGUCGUAGUCCGGAUUGGAGUCUGCAACUCGACUCCAUGAAGUCGGAAUCGCUAGUAAUCGUAGAUCAGAAUGCUACGGUGAAUACGUUCCCGGGCCUUGUACACACCGCCCGUCACACCAUGGGAGUGGGUUGCAAAAGAAGUAGGUAGCUUAACCUUCGGGAGGGCGCUUACCACUUUGUGAUUCAUGACUGGGGUGAAGUCGUAACAAGGUAACCGUAGGGGAACCUGCGGUUGGAUCACCU
rnacentral:rRNA from 1 species